rnacentral:rRNA from 1 species
GAGUUUGAUUCUGGCUCAGGAUGAACGCUGGCGGCGUGCCUAACACAUGCAAGUCGAGCGCGGUUGUGCUUAGUAUUGAGUGUUUUAUUGAUAUAAAACAUUGAAUUCUAUGCACAACUGAGCGGCGGACGGGUGAGUAACGCGUGGGUAACCUGCCCUAUACACAUGGAUAACAUACUGAAAAGUUUACUAAUACAUGAUAAAAUAGUUUUUCGGCAUCGAAGAAUUAUCAAAGUGUUAGCGGUAUAGGAUGGACCCGCGUCUGAUUAGCUAGUUGGUGAGAUAACUGCCCACCAAGGCGACGAUCAGUAGCCGACCUGAGAGGGUGAUCGGCCACAUUGGAACUGAGACACGGUCCAAACUCCUACGGGAGGCAGCAGUGGGGAAUAUUGCACAAUGGGCGCAAGCCUGAUGCAGCAACGCCGCGUGAACGAUGAAGGUCUUCGGAUCGUAAAGUUCUGUUGCAGGGGAAGAUAAUGACGUACCCUNG